GACGAACGCUGGCGGCGUGCUUAACACAUGCAAGUCGAACGGAAAGACCCUGCUUUUGUGGGGUGCUCGAGUGGCGAACGGGUGAGUAACACGUGAGUAACCUGCCCUUGACUUUGGGAUAACUUCAGGAAACUGGGGCUAAUACCGGAUAGGAGCUCCUGCUGCAUGGUGGGGGUUGGAAAGUUUCGGCGGUUGGGGAUGGACUCGCGGCUUAUCAGCUUGUUGGUGGGGUAGUGGCUUACCAAGGCUUUGACGGGUAGCCGGCCUGAGAGGGUGACCGGCCACAUUGGGACUGAGAUACGGACCAGAGUCGUACGGGAGGCAGCAGUGGGGAAUAUUGCACAAUGGGCGGAAGCCUGAUGCAGAAACGUCGCGUGCGGGAUGACGGCCUUCGGGUUGUAAACCGCUUUCGCCUGUGACGAAGCGUGAGUGACGGUAAUGGGUAAAGAAGCACCGGCUAACUACGUG
rnacentral:rRNA from 1 species